UACAGAGGGUGCGAGCGUUAAUCGGAAUUACUGGGCGUAAAGCGCACGUAGUCGGCUUUGCAAGUCGGGUGUGAAAUCCCCGGGCUCAACCUGGGAACUGCAUCCGAGACUGCAUUGCUAGAGUAUGGGAGAGGGAAGUGGAAUUUCAGGUGUAGCGGUGAAAUGCGUAGAUAUCUGAAGGAACAUCAGUGGCGAAAGCGACUUCCUGGACCAAUCUGACGCUCAUGUGCGAAAGCGUGGGGAGCAAACAGG
rnacentral:rRNA from 1 species